GCAUGAAGAGAGCGGAGGCUUUAUCUGCUAGAUUUAUUUUAAUGAGGCACCCAUUCACCGUUCGCUCCAGGACAGCAUUCAGUGAAGGUCGGUGGAGUCGCAGAGCUGUCGAAAACGUGAGUUGGAGGCUGUGGUUGUCCGAUUGACUAGGGGAUGGCGCAGCUUUAGCGGCACCGGCACCGGAAGUGAAGGGGCCGCAGGCGGCCAUGGUUAAACAGUUGUGUUGAAGACAGCAGAACAUCUCAGUGACAAACAGCCUAAGGUAUUACAGAGAAUAAGACUGGUUUUGUGAGGAAAUGAAGCAGUGUGUUCCAGUUUUGAAAGACCUGGAUUUGCUGUGUUGAAAAAUCCCAUUUCUGGUUCCAUUAGGAGUGACAAAAACAGAUGGAUUGUCUUAUCAGAUAAGUUAUUUUAUAGUCUUAAGUACAUUAUAUUAUGUGGACUUUCUAAACCAGAACUUGUGUUCUUUAAAACUUUUUUUUAUUUUUUUAUUUUUUAGGUACCGGUAUCAAGAUGAUUUACAGCAACAAGGUAUUCAGUCUUAAAAUAAACAAACAUUGUAUUCAUGUCAAAGUAAAACAUCAGCUUUUUUUCCUGGAGGCUUGCUAUUUUUCAGUGGUAUGAUUACAGCAUGCUCAUACAAUUAAACUUAAUAGUGAAAAUCUCGUUUUUCUUUCAUAUUAGCUGUCAAGCUGGGUGUAUCUGUUUUAAAUUCAUCUGAUAUUAUGGCAAGUUUACAUUUCUUUAGUACCAGUGUCUUCUCUUUCAAAAAGGGGUUAUUAGCUGUACUGCUAGGAAAUUAAAAUUUUGUACCCAUAGCAUAGUAAGUGAAGAUUUAGGACUGGCCCUAGUUGACUGAGGGAUAAUCAAUUUCUGUCUGAAAAUAGAUCCAAUUUAGUUUUAUUUGGGUGUUUGUCCAAGGCCAACACUUAUUAUGUCACUUUCUGCUAGGUAUGAGUUGUAAAAUGUAGCAGGUAAUUUUAUACUAUAGAAGUCAUGAUAUCACAAUACUGGUUUUGAAUUGUUAACUCUUCAGGUAUAAUGAUAUGCUAUUUAUACUACACAGAUGCUUAAAGUCCAGGAAUACCCUGCAGCUAAACUCUCAGUGACUAGAUUACCUUCUUAGGAAAGCAUAACAGUUGAAUGGAGUGAUGCUGGCAUGAACCCAAUAAAGGGUGUGUUUACUCAGCCUGAGUUCAGAUUGUUCCUGCUCUGAGUACAGCUGUUCAGGGUACAAUUGUAGUUUUUUCAGGCCACAAUUCUAAUUUUUUUCACUUAGUAACAGUUUUCUUUACACAGCACUUUGAUAUAUAUUCUUUCUUAGUUUUGGCAUAAAAGCUAUUGGGUGUCUGGUUUUUUGUUGUUAACCUUACAGAUAAAGACAAAGUGACAGUAGAAAUCCUUAAAGCCACUGCUCUUUACCACAAUAAAAGGAAAACAGCAAAAAUGUUUUUGACUUCUCAGAUAAUCUGUCUUUCUAAAAAUAUUGAAAACAUCUUUCUUCUGCAUCACACCUAAAAGUCAACUAUGGUUGAUGACCAACAUAUAAGAACCAAACAGAAUAUGAUCUUUAAACACUGAAUGUGAUAGAAUGAGGACCUGAUCUGAAUUCAUCUUAUUCCAAAGCCUCAUUUUACAGUAUUUUAACACUAAGUAAAUGUCAUUGAUUACCCCUCCAAUUAUUUCAAGCAGAAAUUAACCAAACUUCAGUGGCUACAAGACAAAAAUUUAAUGAAAAUUGGUCAGUGACUGUGUGUAAUCCAUGGGGCUAAAGUUACAUGGGACUGUUACAGAAAUUUAUAACAGAAUAGAUGCUGAAGUAAAUGUUACAUGUUAUCAUCAUCUGAUUCAUCUUCUUCCUUCAAAGAUUCCUGUUAAGAUAAAAAUGUUUAUAGUUGAUUAAUAUCAUUAUGUUCCCACCUACUAGCACUCAUUAUUAAAAAUUUAUCUAAAAAGUUUAUAACUAAAAAAUGAAUACCUCCUUAGAAUAAGAUACCCAAGUAAAGGAUAAUUCUAGACAAUGCCUAUAUCCUUGAUAAAAUAUAUACAAAUGAAAGCAUUAUAUGUCCUGAAAAACCUGUGUACUUUUCACCAAAAACAAUUUUUUGUAACCAGGAUGCAACUUUACCUCCACUGGAGAUAACCUAGAAAAUGUCUAUACUUGGUUCUACUCUUCAGUGUUUUAUAGAAAUCAGGCAAGUUCCUUUAUUAUCACUACAUGAUUUUAGUUAGAAGAGUUUUUAAUGCUGAAGCUUACCUUAGCAUAUUUCUCUGCUUCUUCCCUUAUAUCUUUUGGAACAAUUUCAUGUCUUCC